rnacentral:rRNA from 1 species
GACGAACGCUGGCGGCGUGCUUAACACAUGCAAGUCGAGCGGUAAGGCCCUUUCGGGGGUACGACGAGCGGCGAACGGGUGAGUAACACGUGGGUGACCUGCCCUCAGCUCUGGGAGUAAGCCUGGGAAACUGGGUCGUAAUACCGGAUAUGACUCCAUGACGCAUGUUGUGGGGUGGAAAGCCUUGUGCGGCUGAGGAUGGGCCCGCGGCCUAUCAGCUUGUUGGUGGGGUGAUGGCCUACCAAGGCGACGACGGGUAGCCGGCCUGAGAGGGCGACCGGCCACACUGGGACUGAGACACGGCCCAGACUCCUACGGGAGGCAGCAGUGGGGAAUCUUGCGCAAUGGGCGAAAGCCUGACGCAGCGACGCCGCGUGAGGGAUGACGGCC